UCUAGCAGGGGAGCCCGAACCUGCUCCCCACCUGCUUAACACAGGAGCUUUUCUAUAGUGUAAGUCAGUAGUUCUCAACCCAGGGUACCUGCACUCCUGGGGGUGCACAGACCUCUUCCAUCAACUCAUCUAGAGAUUUGCCUGGUUUUACAACAGGCUACAUACAAAGCACUAGCGAAGUCAGGACAAACUAACAUUUCAUACAAUGACCUGUUCGUACUGCUCUGUACACUGAAAUGGGAUGCCUCAUGCAUGACAUGGUGUCCUGAUGUGAAGAUUCAAAUAUCACUCCAGGGUGAGCUAGAGAAUCAGACACAUGCAGCUUCAACCUAUUGACUCUGUCUACAAAGAUCUGGAAUCAGGCACCUUUCCCGUUGGAAACGAUUGAAAUGGAGUGAAGACUGCAGGUUCCCCCUUCCACAACACCCCCUCUCUUCUCCAGCAGCACCUUU